GCCUUGGUCGGGCGCGUGGGCGAAGUUCGUCCGCCGGACUCGGAAUGGAGCCAGACUUUGCGGGCGGCCUCCGUGUGCCAAAAAUAGGCCACGGGCACUGCCGCGCCCAAAAGUCAGCCCCCUUUCCGUCGGGGCGCCAAGACCCCCCAGCGGAAAAAUUGCCAAAAAACGGGUGGGCUAUAGCCUUGGUGGGGGGCUUGGGCGAAGUUCGUCCGCCGGACUCGGAAUGGCCCCAGACUUUGCGGGCGGCCUCCGUGUGCCAAAAAUAGGCCACGGGCACAGGCGCGCAAAAAAAUCAGCCCCCUUUCCGUCGGGGCGCCAAGACCCCCCGGCAGAGAAAUGGCCAAAAAACGGGUGGGCUAUAGCCUUCGUGGGGGGCGUGGGCGAAGUUUGUCCGCCGGACUCCGAAUGGCCUCAGACUUUGCGGGCGGCCUCCGUGUGCCAAAAAUAGGCCACGGGCACAGCCGCGCCCAAAAAUCAGCCCCCGAAGGUCGGCGGGCCAAGACCCCCCAGCGGAAAAAUGGCCAAAAAUCGGGUGGGCUAUAGCCUUCGUGGGGGGCGUGGGCGAAGUUCGUCCGCCGGAAUCGGAAUGGCCCCAGACUUUGCGGGCGGCCUAUGUGUGCCAAAAAUAGGCCACGGGCAAACCGCGCCCAAAAAUCAGUCCCCGAAGGUCGGGCCGCCAAGACCCCCCAGCGGAAAAAUGGCCAAAAAACGGGUGGGCUAUAGCCUUGGUGAGGGGCGUGGGCGAAGUUCGUCCGCCGGACUAGGAAUGGCCCCAGACUUUGCGGGCGGCCUACGUGUGCCAAAAAUAGGACACGGGCACAGCCGCUCCCAAAAAUCAGCCCCCGAAGGUCGGGGCGCCAAGAUCCCCCAGCGGAAAAAUGGCCAAAAAACGGGUGGGCUAUAGCCUUCGUGGGGGGCGUGGGCGAAGUUCGUCCGCCGGACUCGGAAUGGCCCCAGACUUUGCGGGCGGCCUCCGUGUGCCAAAACUAGGCCACGGGCACAGCCGCGCCUAAAAAUCAGCCCCCGAAGGUCGGGGGGCCAAGACCCCCCAGUGGAAAAAUGGCCUAAAAACGGGUGGGUUAUAGCCUUGGUGGGGGGCGUGGGCGAAGUUCGUCCGCCGGACUUGGAAUGGAGCCAGACUUUGCGGGCGGCCUCCGUGUGCCAAAAAUAGGCCACGGGCACAGCCGCGCCCAAAAAUCAACCUCCGAAAGUCGGGGCGCCAAGACCUCCCUGCGGAAAAAUGGCCAAAAAACGGGUGGGCUAUAGCCUUCGUGGGGGGCGUGGGCGAAGUUUGUCCGCCGGACUCGGAAUGGCCCCAGACUUUGCGGGCGGCCUCCGUGUGCCAAAAAUAGGCCACGGGCACAGCCGCGCCCAAAAAUCAGCACCCGAAGGUCGGGGCGCCAAGACCCCCCAGCGGAAAAAUGGCCAAAAAACAGGUGGGCUAUAGUCUUCGUGGGGGGCGUGGGCGAAGUUUGUCCGCCGGACUCGGAAUGGCCCCAGACUUUGCGGGCGGCCUCCGUGUGCCAAAAAUAGGCCACGGGCACAGCCGCGCCCAAAAAUCAGCCCCCGAAGGUCGGGGCGCCAAGACCCCCCAGCGGAAAAAUGGCCAAAAAACGGGUGGGCUAUAGUCUUCGUGGGGGCGUGGGCGAAGUUUGUCCGCCGGACUCGGAAUGGCCCCAGAUUUUGCGGGGCGGACUCCGUGUGCAAAAAAUAGGCCACGGGCACAGCCGCGCCCAAAAAAUCAGCCCCCGAAGUUCGGCGGGCCAAGACCCCCCAGCGGAAAAAUGGCCAAAAAUCGGGUGGGCUAUAGCCUUGCUGGGGGGCGUGGGCGAAGUUCGUCCGCCGGACUCCGAAUGGCCCCAGACUUUGCGGGCGGCCUCCGUGUGCCAAAAAUAGGCCACGGGAACAGCAGCGCCCAAAAAUCAGCCCCCGAAGGUCGGGAGGCCAAGACCCCCCAGCGGAAAAAUGGCCAAAAAACGGGUGGGCUAUAGCCUUGGUGGGGGGCGUGGGCGAAGUUCGUCCGCCGGACUCGGAAUGGCCCCAGACUUUGCGGGCGGCCUCCGUGUGCCAAAAAUAAGCCACGGGAACAGCCGCGCCCAAAAAUCAGCCCCCGAAGGUCGGGGCGCCAAGACCCCCCAGCGGAAAAAUGGCCAAAAAACGGGUGGGCUAUAGCCUUGGUGGGGGGCGUGGGCGAAGUUCGUCCGCCGGACUCGGAAUGGCCCCAGACUUUGCGGGCGGCCUACGUGUGCCAAAAAUAGGACACGGGCACAGCCGCGCCCAAAAAUCAGCCCCCGAAGGUCGGGCCGCCAAGACCCCCCAGCGGAAAAAUGGCCAAAAAACGGGUGGGCUAUAGCCUUCGUGGGGGGCGUGGGCGAAGUUCGUCCGCCGGACUCGGAAUGGCCCCAGACUUUGCGGGCGGCCUCCGUGUGCCAAAAAUAGGCCACGGGCACAGCCGCACCCAAAAAUCAGCCCCCGAAGGUCAGGGCGCCAAGACCCCCCUGCGGAAAAAUGUCCAAAAAACGGGUGGGCUAUAGCCUUGGUGGGGGGCGUGGGCGGAGUUCGUCUGCCGGAAUUGGAAUGGCCCCAGACUUUGCACACGGUCUCCGUGUGCCAAAAGAAGGCCACGGGCACAGCCGCGCCCAAAAAUCAACCCCCGAAAGUCCGGGCGCCAAGACCCCCCCGCGGAAAAAUGGCCAAAAAACGGGUGGGCUAUAGCCUUGGUGGGGGGCGUCGGCGAAGUUCGUCCGCCGGACUCGGAAUGGCCCCAGACUUUGCGGGCGUACUCCGUGUGCCAAAAAUAGGCCACGGGUAUAGCCGCGCCAAAAAAUCAGCCCCCGAAGGUCGGGGCGCCAAGACCCCCCAGCGGAAAAAUGGCCAAAAAACGGGUGGGCUAUAGCCUUGGUGGGGGGCGUGGGCGAAGUUCGUCCGCCGGACUCGGAAUGGCCCCAGACUUUGCGGGCGGCCUCCGUGUGCCAAAAAUAGGCCACGGGCACAGCCGCACCCAAAAAUCAGCACCCGAAAGUCGGCGGGCCAAGAACCCCCAGCGGAAAAAUGGCCAAAAAACGGGUGGGCUAUAGCUUUGGUGGGGGGCGUGGGCGAAGUUCGUCCGCCGGACUCGGAAUGGCCCCAUACUUUGCGGGCGGCCUCCGUGUGCAAAAACUAGGCCACGGGCACAGCCGCGCCCAAAAAUCAGCCCCCGAAAGUCCGGGCGCCAAGACCCCCCCGCGGAAAAAUGGCCAAAAAACGGGUGGGCUAUAGCCUUGGUGGGGGGCGUCGGCGAAGUUCGUCCGCCGGACUCGGAAUGGCCCCAGACUUUGUGGGCGUACUCCGUGUGCCAAAAAUAGGCCACGGAUACAGCCGCGCCCAAAAAUCAGCCCCCGAAGGUCGGGGCGCCAAGAUCCCCCAGCGGAAAAAUGGCCAAAAAACGGAUGGGCUAUAGCCUUCGUGGGGGGCGUGGGCGAAGUUCGUCCGCCGGACUCGGAAUGGCCCCAGACUUUGCGGGCGGCCUCCGUGUGCCAAAACUAGGCCACGGGCACAGCCGCGCCCAAAAAUCAGCCCCCGAAAGUCCGGGCGCCAAGACCCCCCCGCGGAAAAAUGGCCAAAAAACGGGUGGGCUAUAGCCUUGGUGGGGGGCGUCGGCGAAGUUCGUCCGCCGGACUCGGAAUGGCCCCAGACUUUGCGGGCGGACUCCGUGUGCCAAAAAUAGGCCACGGGUACAGCCGCGCCCAAAAAUCAGCCCCCGAAGGUCGGGGCGCCAAGACCCCCCAGCGGAAAAAUGGCCAGAAAACGGGUGGGCUAUAGCCUUGGUGGGGGGCGUGGGCGAAGUUCGUCCGCCGGACUCGGAAUGGCCCCAGACUUUGCGGGCGGCCUCCGUGUGCCAAAAAUAGGUCACGGGCACAGCCGCGCCCAAAAAUCAGCCCCCGAAGGUCGGGGCGCCAAGACCCCCCAGCGGAAAAAUGGCCAAAAAACGGGUGGGCUAUAGCCUUGGUGGGGGGCGUCGGCGAAGUUCGUCCCCCGGACUCGGAAUGGCCCCAGACUUUGCGGGCGGACUCCGUGUGCCAAAAAUAGGCCACGGGUACAGCCGCGCCCAAAAAUCAGCCCCCGAAGGUCGGGGCGCCAAGACCCCCCAGCGGAAAAAUGGCCAAAAAACGGGUGGGCUAUAGCCUUGGUGGGGGGCGUGGGCGAAGUUCGUCCGCCGGACUCGGAAUGGCCCCAGACUUUGCGGGCGGCCUCCGUGUGCCAAAAAUAGGCCACGGGCACAGCCGCACCCAAAAAUCAGCACCCGAAAGUCGGCGGGCCAAGAACCCCCAGCGGAAAAAUGGCCAAAAAACGGGUGGGCUAUAGCUUUGGUGGGGGGCGUGGGCGAAGUUCGUCCGCCGGACUCGGAAUGGCCCCAUACUUUGCGGGCGGCCUCCGUGUGCCAAAACUAGGCCACGGGCACAGCCGCGCCCAAAAAUCAGCCCCCGAAAGUCCGGGCGCCAAGACCCCCCCGCGGAAAAAUGGCCAAAAAACGGGUGGGCUAUAGCCUUGGUGGGGGGCGUCGGCGAAGUUCGUCCGCCGGACUCGGAAUGGCCCCAGACUUUGUGGGCGUACUCCGUGUGCCAAAAAUAGGCCACGGAUACAGCCGCGCCCAAAAAUCAGCCCCCGAAGGUCGGGGCGCCAAGACCCCCCUGCGGAAAAAUGGCCAAGAAACGGGUGGGCGAUAGCCUUGGUGGGGGGCGUCGGCGAAGUUCGUCCGCCGGAUCGGAAUGGCCCCAGACUUUGCGGGCGUACUCCGUGUGCCAAAAAUAGGCCACGGGUACAGCCGCGCCCAAAAAUCAGCCCCCGAAGGUCGGGGCGUCAAGACCCCCCAGCGGAAAAAUGGCCAAAAAACGGGUGGGCUAUAGCCUUGGUGGGUGGCGUGGGCGAAGUUCGUCCGCCGGACUCGGAAUGGCCCCAGACUUUGCGGGCGGCCUCCGUGUCCCAAAAAUAGGUCACGGGCACAGCCGCGCCCAAAAAUCAGCCCCCGAAGGUCGGGGCGCCAAGACCCCCCAGCGGAAAAAUGGCCAAAAAACGGGUGGGCUAUAGCCUUGGUGGGGGGCGUCGGCGAAGUUCGUCCCCCGGACUCGGAAUGGCCCCAGACUUUGCGGGCUGACUCCGUGUGCCAAAAAUAGGCCACGGGUACAGCCGCGCCCAAAAAUCAGCCCCCGAAGGUCGGGGCGCCAAGACCCCCCAGCGGAAAAAUGGCCAAAAAACGGGUGGGCUAUAGCCUUGGUGGGAGGCGUGGGCGAAGUUCGUCCGCCGGACUCGGAAUGGCCCCAGACUUUGUGGGCGGCCUACGUGUGCCAAAAAUAGUUCACGGGCACAGCUGCGCCCAAAAAUCAGCCCCCGAAGGUCGGGGCGCCAAGAUCCCCCAGCGGAAAAAUGGCCAAAAAACGGAUGGGCUAUAGCCUUCGUGGGGGGCGUGGGCGAAGUUCGUCCGCCGGACUCGGAAUGGCCCCAGACUUUGCGGGCGGCCUCCGUGUGCCAAAACUAGGCCACGGGCACAGCCGCGCCCAAAAAUCAGCCCCCGAAAGUCCGGGCGCCAAGACCCCCCCGCGGAAAAAUGGCCAAAAAACGGGUGGGCUAUAGCCUUGGUGGGGGGCGUCGGCGAAGUUCGUCCGCCGGACUCGGAAUGGCCCCAGACUUUGUGGGCGUACUCCGUGUGCCAAAAAUAGGCCACGGAUACAGCCGCGCCCAAAAAUCAGCCC
rnacentral:lncRNA from 1 species